ACAUGAAAAAUUAAAUAUGGCAACUGAUUGUCGGGUGAUAAAACUGUGCUUUCAGGAGGCAAAGAAAGGGGAAGGGAUGUCAUACAUAACAUGUCAUCCGU